GUUUGGAUUCUCUCUGCCUGACCCAAGGCAGACAUCCGUUCCCUCUGGCCGUUGGUACUCCUGGUUCUCAGGGAUUCAGACUCUGACUGGCGUCCACUCCAUUGGAUCCCGGCCCUCAGGUCUUGGAACUUGCACUGCCAGCAUUCCUGGGUGUCCGGCUUGCGGACAGCAGAUCGUGGGACUUCUCAGCCUCCAGAAUUGCACGAAGUGUCUCCUUACGAAUCUCUUCCUAUGUACGUGUAUCCUAUUGGCUCUGUUUCUCUGCAGAACCCUGACUAAUGCAAACCCUCUCAUCUCACAGCAGUGCAUGUACAAACCCACUCACAUCUUCCCCUCCCCUGCCUUCCCUACCGCAAGUUCCCUCCGACCAGAGGCCAAUCCCGCUGCGGUGCCCCGGACCCACCCUCUGCACCAGCCUUCCUUCUUGUUUUCUAAAAGCUCGCGUUUUCUGUGGGCUUCCAAGGCUGCUCUUCAGUAUCUUUACGUCAGAGCCUCCCAGCUCCUUCCCCUCUCUCAAAAGCGUUUUCACAGGGACUGUAGGCUCCUUCCCUCCCCUUGAUAACCAAGUACUAUGCCCCAGGUUCUUACCUCACAGCCCAAAGUUGUCCUAAGUCGGGCCCUGACCUGAGUGUCUCCAAAUCCAGCAGGCCGUCUGCUCUCCUGUGACAUGCAGCAUCCCACGGCUUUUCCUAAAAGACCCCCUCUGUCAGCUUUGCUGUCACCCACCCUCCAGGGCUCUCUCUUACAGGUCUGCCCUUUGCUAGCAUCUUAGCCUCUCCACCUCCCGGUGGUCCUGUCUGCGAUGGACCCCCUCCAUGUGUCCCAAGGCCCUCCAAAGGAACAGGUCUGUAUCAGGUGCAAUUAGAUUGAGGUGCAAUGCAAGGGCUUGAAUUGCAGAGAGGUUCAUUUUUCUUUUUGUAGAAAAGUCUGGGACCAGCUGUCAGAGACUGAUUUGGCCACUCCAUGGUCACCAGGACCAGGCUGUGUCCAUCUUUUCUGUUCUGACCUUUUUCACAUGGGCCAUUGUCCAUGUCACCGCUGGUCACCAGCUGCAGCAGUCGCAUUCUUGCUCCGGGCAGCAGGAAGAAGGUGAGACCAGAAGGCAGAGGGGGCUGGUCCUGCCUGGUCAGCCCCCAGGGGGCUUUGCCCAGACACCCCUUCCCCACCCAUGGCUCUGCUGAUUUCUCUAUAGCUGCCACCCUCUGAAAAGGGAGCUGGCAGAGUAGUUCUUAGACAUGGCACCUGGCCACCUCUGUGGCUGAAGAAGAAGGGGGUUGAGGAUUGGGGUACACACCUGUCAGUCUCCAUGCAAUGCCCCAAAGUGGACCACUGACCCCACACCACGCUGUUCUCCUCUGAGUUUUCUCACCUCUGUCCAAAUGGCUGCAGAAGCCAAAAGCCCCAGAGCCCAGCUCCCCUUCCCUCCUUUCUCUUCCAUCCUUCCAUCCUUCCAUGAGCCUGCCCCUCAUCCUCCUCAGGGCUGGAACUGGCUGCCGGAUUCCUCCCUGGCUCCGUGGGGGCUGGCUCAGCAAUCUGAGCUGCCGAUGGCUCUGUGGUCCAGCUGGGAGGAUUCAUGCCCCAUUGGGGCUGAGAGGAAUGAGGUGAGGGCUGUGGGGUUUGCCCAGAAUCUCCUGAAAUAUCGGGCCCAGGAACUACAGCAGGACUCUCAUUCCGCCUUCUGGCCACUGUUGGGGGUGACACUGGCAGGAUCCAGGGGCUCUGGAAAGCUCCAGGGGAAAUUUGAGGCAUAACCCAGCUUCUCUGAGACGGAACUCAGGGAGGAUCCAGCUCAAUCCUACAGAGGCGACCCCAAGGAAGGACCUGCCCAGGGUCACUUGGAGAGCUGGGCGGGAGGAGGGAGAAACCUCCCCCGUUCAGAGUGACAAAGCCCCCCUUGCCUCAGGGAUGGCUGAGAUCCAAGUCCUCAAAACACGCCGCCAUCUGGAGGGUGUGAGAGCGAGGUCCGUCCUCAGCAUGGACGCUGCAGUGCACACUGUUCCGUGCCAGGUGCUGGCUGACCCUGCCCUGUGGGAGGUGAUGGACAGGCACACAGGGGGAGCCCCGCAAACAAGGGGCCCUGUUACAGCAGAGUGGGAGAGCGCCUGGUAGGACGCCAAGCACCGUGGCCGGGCUGCAGAGAGGCCUGCGGGACUUGUAGACAAGACGUCAUGGAGAAGGCGGAGCUCCCAUGGGCCUUGCAGGUUUCACCAAGCAAGAGCGGAGAAGACACAGGCUGGACAAAGGAAGGUGGACGGGACAGCCAGCCGUGCAGCAGCCUCACAGGACACAGCUACCAGACAGAGAGCACCAGCUGACACUCAUUCCUCCAGCACCAGGAAAUGCCACAGCAGAAGAGAGUCUUCAAGAUGGGCCAGACCCACUUCUGCAGCAUGGUUGCUGGGAGCCUGCACAGGCCAGGCAUUUCUCUACAGGUCAGCAGAGCUGCAGCAAGAUCCCAGGUCCUGACCCAAGGCAGUCCUGACCCAUGGUCUAUCCCCACCGGCCCUUCCCUGGAGCUGUGCCUCAGCUGGGGAGGUACUUCUGGAAGGCAGGUGGAGGAGGUAAGCCUCCUUCCCAGCCUGCAAGUCUGUGGUUUAGGUGGCCUAUACUAACUGAUACUCGUACAGGUGCAAUUGAGAACUCACUGAGGCAAAAGGGCCUUUGUCAACCCACAGAAGUGACAAGUCCAAGUGCAGACCAGGCUUCAGGUAUGGCUUGAUGGAGGCACACACGCUGUCUUUCCAGCUUCCAGUGUAGGGUGUCUGGGUGCCCUCUACUGACAAGAUGGUAGCAGGAGCCAGAGACUUUCUGUCCUCUCAGUGACAAGUUCAGAGGGAAAGCCAGGGCCCUGGCCAACAUUUCCGUGUGUCCCCUCUGUGUACCCAGUCCUCACGUCCAUCUCUGUGUGGCUGGAGGAGUGUAAUGUCCAGAGCUGCUCGGGUCUAAAUCACUCAGGCCUCACCUGCCAGGAAAGGUGUUUCCCCAGCUUCAGGGACCAGAAGUGGGGGGAAGGAUGUCCCAGGAAAAUGUAGGUGGAUGUGUCCAGCAAAGAGUAACCAGACACUGGGGCAGCAAGGACCUAGGUUCACCCCAGAAGGCUGGCUUCCACCCAACAAAGACAUCACCAUGGGAGCUAGAGACAGACCGGGAGGAGGUGAGAGGACAGAGCCCAGGGUCCUUGCACGGCCCAGGCGGAAGGGGGCACUGAGUCAACAGAAAGGAAGAAAAAGGGAGUUCAGAGGGGACAGGGCUGUGCCAGCAGACAUGUGUGGGGACCCCAGGCCGGCGAGGGGCUGGCAAGGCAGGAAGGAGGGAGGCCAUGGCCAGUGUAAGCAGGGCCAUUUCACCUCCUGGGAGCUCAGCCUGACCGCCUGUGUGUCCUGCGGAGACUCCAUGGGGAGUGGAGAUCGUGUCAUGAGUCCUUAUUCGGGCACUUCACCCACAAGUCACUCUGAUCACGUCUGUGAGUCCUUAUUUGGGGGCUGCCCCACCGCAGUCGCUCCGACCACGUCUGUGAGUCCUUAUUUGGGGGCUGCCCCACCGCAGUCGCUCCGAUCACGUCUGUGGCUGCUUCUCCCACAGGCUCCCACAGGUUCCUGUGAUUAGGUCAUUUGCCACCGGGAGAGCUUGGGUCCCUCACUGUGCACCCCCACCCCCUUGCCACUGCCUGUGGAGUGCACGGCACAGCACCCCUCGAGGGGCGUGGUGUUGAACUAAUAUGCACUUGAGGGGUCCCUGACCACGGGAGGAGGGAGGGAGGGACGGGCAGGCAGACAUCAACAGCCGCCAGUGGCUCCCAGGCUCUCAUCUGAGACAGGACAGGGAGGUAGGGCGAGCCUGGAAUGAACGCUGGGUGGAAAUGCCCGGGGAACCACAGGGAGCAAGACGUGGACUCCAGGAAGAUGGUGCUCUGGUGGGUGGGAGUAUGGAGGGCAGAGGGCAGGGUGGCCAGGGUGGACCCUCUCCAUCAAGGGUCGCUGCAGGGAGGCAGGGCGAAGACGGGACGGGGAGAUGGUGGGUAUGGAGGGACAAGGGCAGAGAACUGGGCAGCCUAGGGCAGGCUCACCCUCAGACAGGCUGGCAGAAAGGGGUUGCCAGGCUGGCAGAAGAGGGGUCACCAGCAAAGCAGGAGUGGGCAGAGGCAAGAGGCACAGAAGGCAGAGGCCGUUCUGCCGCAGUGCAGCAUCCGAUCAGCGGCUGGUCAGCAGCUGGAGGCUACUCUCCUCUACUCCACAGGUCCAGUUGCUCUUCAGAACUCAAAAUCCCAUCUCUGCAGGUCUCAGCCAAUCCUGCUCCCGCCUGUUUUUAUUUCCUGCCCAGAGCAAGUACAGAACCGAGGGCCAUCGAUGGGCGAGAAAUCACUGUGCCUCCAAGCUGUAUUUUUCACCGUAACAAGUCAUUACUUCUGUGCCCGGAGUCAUUUCUCAGGAUCUUAAUGCAUUCGUUUAUCAAUCAAUACUUAACUGAUGUCUAUAAAGCAUGUUCAAAAUCAGAGGUGAGAGCAGCUCACCAGGUACCGACUUCGUGUCUGGAGCCACCUUGUUAAGGAGCAACCCUUGGCACGGGUCCCGUGUCUGCACCCUCGGGAGCUCUGGGUGGGUGCACUGGGGUCCUCACAGCCCUUCCCACCACCGCAGAUGGAAAUCUCUACCUGGCAGAGGGGCUCAGUCGUCCCCACCUGGGAGUCUGGGGCCUACCGGCAGCAGAAGGUGCAGUGGCCAAACACAGAGACAUUUCUAUCAUCAGACCUGGUCCCCAGCCUGACUCUGCUGCCCACUUACCCCUGGCCAGGGCGAGUUCAUCGACUGUGCCGAGCCUGGCUGCUUCUCCAGCCUAACAGGAGUCCCCGUCUCGACAGGACUGAGUGGGGUGAAUGCAGCCAAGUGCUCAGCAGAGACUGUCCCACCGGGAAGUGUUCACAAAUAUGGGCUGUUGAACCUGCUGUUGUUAGAUCUAGAUCCAGUUCUGCGACCACGUUCAUGACUUAGAUCAUAACUGAAGUGCGGGCCAGCCGAGGCCGGGCCGUUUAGGGGUUUGGCUGCUAAUUCAAGAAGGACACCUGGGUUUGGAUCCCAGAGUUCCCUCCAGACCCAGAUGUGGCCUCAGGCAGGUGAUGAGCCUGGAGAUGCGGUUUCAUUUUCUGCAGGGUGGUCAAAGGAGAUCUCAGGCUUGUAGGAGACAAAGCACAUCGCCCCGAACUGCUCAGGAGGCGCAGAUUACAGCCACCCUCCUUAUCCACCCCGUCUCCCAUCACAGCCCUCAUGAGUGCUCAAGCAAGGCUCAGGGCCUGAUGGACGUGGCUGCCUCCUCCUAGAGGACAGGCAUGUCUCGGCUGCCUGCACCAGCCAGCGGCCCUUCUCCCCGGCCAGGAGAUCCUCCAAGGAAGGCCAAGGGCCAAGCAGCUGCUGGAGCAGAUGACCACAAACUCAGUGACUGCAGAGUGCACGCGCUCAUCACCUUACAGUUGUGUAGGCUGGGAUCCCACUGGGCUAAGACCAAGGUGUUGGGAGGCUGCGUUUCUUGCUGGAUGCUGUAAGGGAGAAGUCGUUUCCUCGUGUUUUUUUAACUUCCUUGGCCCACGGACCUUCCUCCACCUUCAAAGCCAGCAGCCUCGCGUCUUCUGACCUUCCAUUGUCACAUCGUCAUCUGACCCACGUAAGGACCCGUGUGAUUAGGGUGGGCGCACCCGGGUAAUCUUCCCAUCUCAAAGUCCUUGACUGAAUCACAUCUGCAAAGUCCCCUUUGCUACGUAAGGUCACAUGUUCACAAGAUCCAGGGAUUAGGACUUGGACAUUUUUGGAAGCCCAUUGUCCUGCCAACAGCACAAGACCUCCAGGUGAUCCUGAUGUGUAACGCACAGUGAGAGACAAAUGCUCUGAUGGACCAUCAACAGCAGAACGUAAGCAGGGAGAGGGACCCCGCCUUCCUCCCCAAUCUGGCCCUGUGCCUAGCAAAUUAUAGAACUUUUGUAAGCAAAUGAGUUCAUUUGUGAAUAAAUGAACGACCGGUGAGACGAAGAGCUGGGCGUAGCAGCCACAGGUGGGGCUGCCAAAUAAAAUGCAAGAUGCGUGGUUAAAUCUGAAUUUCAGAUAAAUAACAAGUACUUAUGUUUUUGGGGGUUUUUUUGUUUUUUUGUUUUUUUUUUGAGAUGGAGUCUCGUUCUGUCGCCCAGGCUGGAGUGCAGUGGUGUGAUCUUGCCUCACUGCAAGCUCCACCUCCCGGGUUCAAGUGAUUCUCCUGCCUCAGCCUCCUGAGUAGCUGGGAUUACAGGCAUGUGCCACCAUGCCUGGCUAAUUUUUGUAUUUUUAAUAGAGACGGGGUUUCACCAUGUUGGUCAGGCUUGUCUUGAACUCUUGACCUCAGGUGAUCCACCCGCCUCGGCCUCCCAAAGUGCUGGGAUUACAGGCAUGAGCCACCACACCUGGUAACAAGUAGUUUUUUACUACCAGUGUGCCUCUAACAAUAUUUGAGAUAUACUAAAAAAAAAAGUUGUUUUUUAUCUGAAAUUCAAAUUUAGCUGAUAUCCUGUAUUUUUCUUUGUCAAAUGUGGCUUCUCUAAGCAUCAGUCCAGCCAUGGCCCAGGUGGUGAACCUGGAAAUUCAUUCCUCCCUCCAGAACUCUGUUUCCCUGCUCAGUGUUCUAGAAAGCAUCCCCUUCUCUGGCAAACCCUGUCCAAUCUCUCAGGGAAGAUGAGGCCUCCUUCCUCUUCCUGUCCUCCGUUAAUCGAUAUUCCCACCCCAACCCCUCCUAGAAUUUGGUGAUCUGGGGUCUGAAGUCUUCUACCAGGAGCUCAAGCUGAUGGGCUGAGAAGCCCAGUUCUGACGUGAAUUCUGCACCCCUCCUUCGGGAACAAGGAAGACCCAAGCUUGCUUAUCUCUAGAUCCUGCGGGGGGCUUUUGAGAAUCCCUAGUUUUGAGGCUGUGGGAUGGAGCUGCAUGGGAGAGCCAGGAGGAAGACCCUGGCACAGCACGCUCUGAGUAUGGGGUUGCUGCUGGCCCACCCUGUUCCCUCCACACUCUGGAGGAUGUGGAGUGGACGCCAUCAGGGUGCAGCCAUGCAGAACGGCUGGGUCUGUCCCUGUGUCCUCACGCACAGAGCUCUGGAAGGCAGGCAGACGUCCUCACACAUCUGUGAGCCAAAAGGCAAAAAACAAAAGAAGCAAACAAAAAAAUCCACUCCGAUGUUCUUAUGCUUAUGGGUUCUACAGACUUGCAUAUACAUAAUGUAAUGAAAAUUCUUGAUUUCAUCUUCAGAGACAUAAAUGGAAGAAAAUGUACAUAAAAGAGAGUCCACUUAAACAUGUGAUCCUCUCAAAGGAAGAAAAGAACAGGGCUCACUCAUCCACAUCAACCCGGUGAGGCCCGGACACCCCCCACCUCUUCUGCUUAGAGCCCUAUUAUCCUUUGAUCUCCCUAAUAAUGUGUUUCUUUCCUGGUAAUAGGUUUUCAUCAUCCUCACAGCCUAUUGAUUAGAACUCUUUUCCAGGGUUUUGAGAUAUUGGCUAAAAUAAGGGAUGAAAUGAUUCAGUCUUCAGGUGAUGUUUCAAAGGAGGCGUGUUCGUAAUGUCCUCCCGCGACGAGGGACCUGGCCAAGAGAAACUACGCAGGAGGCCCAGAAGGCAGAGCCUGCUCCAGGUCGGCCUCACUGCUGUCCCUUCUGACCUCUCGACAUUUUGGUUUUGGCAUGGUGAAUGGGGCUACCACAGUGGGCCAGCCAGCAUGACCCCCUGACCAGACCUGGAGGCAGGCAGAGGAAAGGAGAGGGCCAGGGAUGGGUGGGUGGCCGGGUGUGUGCCGUUUGCUGAAGUUGAGGCACUGUGGUUCCUGGAAUCCUCAGCCCAGGGACUUCUAAGACACAUCUCUAAGACACAAACAAGAUCUACACCUCUAAGAGGGAAGGAAUGACCGGCCCAUCGCAGGCUGUCUUCGACUGUUGGGGCUCCCAUGACAAAAUGCCAUAGACUUAGGGGCCGAUGAACAACAGCCAUUGGUUUCCCACAGUUCUGGAGGCUAGAAGUCCAAGAGCAAGGCUCCAGCAGAACGUCUGGUGAGGGCCGCUUCCUGAUUCAUAGACGGCACCUCUUUGCUGUGUCCCCGCCUGGUAGAGGGCUGAGGGAUCUCCCUCAGAACUCUUUUAAAAGGGCACUCUCCUCAUUCACCAGUGUUCCACCCUCAGGACCUAAUCACCUCCCAAGGGCCCCACCUUUUAAUACUAUUUAAUACCAUUGCAUUAAGGAUUAGGUUUCAACAUGUGAAACUGCAGGACACACACACUCAGCCCAUAGCAGAUGCCCUGAAGGGGCUGUGAAGUGUCGUGAGUAGAGCCCCAGGAAUGGAGGGUUCUGGAGGGGCACAUAGGUCCAACAGAGCGCAGGCAUAAGGUGGGAAGCCAGAGGGGGCUGUGUGGGCCGGACUGGGUCAAAUCAGGAGGCCUGGAGAUGCCUGGUGAGGAGCCCCGGUCCCACGAUGUAGGGGGCCUGUCGGCACAGGAGUGUAGGCCACGGGCUUGUGGGCAGCCUCCCUCAGGAGGGUGUGGGGCUGAUGAGCAGGUGUGGGCGCAGGUGCAUGCAUCAGGACGUGUCCCCUGCGGAAGCAGCUCCUGUAGGAUCACCUCCUCCACCAGCGACCAGGAAGGACAUUGCAUUUAGACUCUAGGUGAGUCCAGCUUCACUCAUCGCCAGCUGAGGCCUCAUUUUCUCAUCUCUAAGACAUAAACAACCACCCCCUCUUCCCAGGAACACACACACACACGCGCGCGCACACACGUGGUUCUGCGGCUCAUAACUAAAUGUAAUGAAAGGUAAACUAAAGUGCCCCUCCAUGGAAAUCGACCCCAAUUCAGCCUCUAAUCCUGAGAUGCAAGAUUCAGAACCAGUAUGUCAAGGAAAAGUGUUUCUCUGCAUUGAUCCUCGAGGAUACUAAAUGUAUAUUUUAAAAAAUAAAUUCUGUCCCAAGUGUUUGGUGAGACAGAGAGAGAAGCAGCCGCUUCUGAAGUGAGCACAAGGACGUGGCUUUUCUGGAGGCUUCCUCAUUGCAGGACCCAUCCAUCACCUUCAGGGGUUCGAUGAAACCGUUGCAAAUAUGAUCAAUCAUCUUUUUAUUGAAUUAAGACAAAUGGCUGGUUAUUAAUAGGCUAAGACUUAAUGAGGAAAAUGGAUAAUGCCGCACAGGGAAAAGGCAAAGAACUGUGCACACAGCCUCUGCACUUUUUCUAGAAAGAUCUGGAAGUGUCUUCAGUGAGAAAAGCCCCGGGCUGGAUGACCUCUUUGAUUCACACUAAGGACUCAAGGAAGCAAAAACUCCUAGGUUGACCCUUUCUCCACCACCUUCUAUCUGUGUGAUCUUCAGGCAGUGACUUGACCUCUCUGAACUUCUGUCUCUUCACAAAGGUGCUUGGCUUAUGAUGUUGUGCCUGGCAGACGCAGACUGAGAGAAGCAGAGUCCUGGCCUCCAAAAUCUGAGUUGUGUGUGGGACAGAAUGGUGUGCUUCACCUGCGGUUCUGAGGGGGCCGGCGGGAUCAGAUGCUGGCACAGGACAUGGGAAGGGGGUGCGUGUGGGGCAGAGCCGUGCAGCAGGUGCACAGCUGUGCAAGGUCCCCUGAUGGGCCCUCUCUGCUCCAUGUUUCCAGAAAUCCUUGGAAAGGAGCUCAAGUGGCACAGUAUCUGGAGCGUGUUGUGGACUUGGUUGGGAUGCCUGGUGUCUGUUUAUGGCAGCACUUCUGGGGAAACAGAUUGUGUUUAUGUCAGAAAGAAAAGACCAUGUUUCGGGGCAAUCCCUGCAGCUCGUUAGGUCAAAUCAACACCCCCAGCCCAUCUGCCUCCGCAGGGUGCCUCGGCCCCACUCAGUGCCGGCAGACAGGAGCCUCCCAGGGAGCAGCCGAGCUCCAGGGCGGGGGAGCCACCACCGAGCACAAUAGCCAAUCAGCCCCUUCCUAGAAGCAAGUCAGGCUGCCCGGCGUGCUUUCUGUCUGUCGUUCCUGCAGCCUCCACGGGCACCGGCCCAGGUGGUCCCUGGCUGGAUGGUCAGAACUCAGAGCUGUGAGCUGUGGCUGCUGAUUCCCUCCUGAACAACAGGGUCUAGGGAGACAGGCAGACACAGAAACCUCAAGUGAAGUGGGGGCUGCGGGCUGGGGGUGCUGCACGGGGCAGUCAGGGGCACAGCAAAGAGGACGUGACCUCAGGUCCUCGGCAGCAGGGAGGGAAGGCAUGGAGUACAUGCUUUCCUCUGGGAAACACUCAUAUCCGAUUCACAUGAUAUUGUCCGCAGUGCUGAGCCUGGCAGACCUACAUCUUCAUCUUUUUGGUGCGUUAAUGAGGAUUUUUAUUUCUUCUUUAAUGAUUAAUUCCUAAAAUUAUAAUACUUAUGUGAAUAGUACCAAUGCUUAAUAUUUUUGAUAAAAAUUUAAAAAUUGAGCUCCAAAAGGGAUUCACCAAUUAAUAUUUCCAUCAUCAUUAUGCAGAAGUUGCUAUUUACUCACAUCCUUAAUUAUAGAGGAAAGUAUCAAUGAAUGUUUACCAAUUUAAUGACUCAAAUAUUUUCAUAUCUAUAUUUCUCCAUUAUUAGUGACAUUGUGCACUUUUACUUAUGUGUAUUGACGAUUUGUACUUUUACUCUGUGAAUUUCUUUUUCUCUUCUUUUUUUCAACUUUUAUUUUAGAAUUGGAGAGUACAUGUGCAGGUUUGUUAUGAAGUUAUAUUGCGUGAUGCUGAGGUUUGGAGCAUGAGUGAAUCUGUUACCCAGGUACUGAGCAUAGUACCCAAUAGGUAGUUUUCUUUCUACCUUGCCCCCAGGAGUCCCCAGUAUCUAUUUUUCCCAUCUUUGUGUCCAUCUGUACCUAAUGUUUAUCUCCCACUUACAAGUGAGAAAACGUGGUAUUUGGUUUUCUGUUCCUGCAUUAAUUUGCUUAGGAUAAAAGUUUCUAGCUGCAUCCAUGUUGCUGUGAAGGACAUGGUUCCAUUCUUUUUCAUGGCUGUGUAGUAUUCCACGGUGUCUGUGGGUUUUUUUUAAAGGUUGUUUUUGAAGAAUACUUGACAACAUGGAGAAAUUCUCAAUGCGUGAAAAAAAAGUAAAAGGAAAGUAAAAGGGAACAGAAGUAUAUAUAAAGCAUGUUCCAAUAUUGUCCAAAAAUAUUAUUAUUGAUUAUCUGGGAGAAGUUUAUGGGUAUUUAUGCUUUUUUCCAUCUUUGAAAAAUACUCUGAGAAUAUGCAUUAGUUUUAUGAGGAAAGUGCAUGUUAUAAAGCCUAAAGAUGAAUUGUGUCUCCCCACAAAAGAUAGGUUGAGGGACUCAGCCUGUGGCCUGAUUUGGAAGCAGGGUCACUACAGAUGGAAUUAGUUGAGGUGAGGUCGUCCUGGAGUAGGUGAACUCCAAUCCAAGAUGACUCAUGUUUUUGCCAG
rnacentral:lncRNA from 1 species